rnacentral:rRNA from 1 species
AGGACGAACGCUGGCGGCGUGCUUAACACAUGCAAGUCGAACGGAAAGGCCCGCUUGCGGGUACUCGAGUGGCGAACGGGUGAGUAACACGUGGGCAACCUGCCCUCAGCUCUGGGAUAACUCCGGGAAACCGGUGCUAAUACUGGAUAUCGACUUCUGCCUCGCAUGGGGUGUUGUUGAAAGUUUUUCGGCUGGGGAUGGGCCCGCGGCCUAUCAGCUUGUUGGUGGGGUAAUGGCCUACCAAGGCGACGACGGGUAGCCGGCCUGAGAGGGCGACCGGCCACACUGGGACUGAGACACGGCCCAGACUCCUACGGGAGGCAGCAGUGGGGAAUAUUGCGCAAUGGGCGGAAGCCUGACGCAGCGACGCCGCGUGAGGGAUGACGGCCUUCGGGUUGUAAACCUCUUUCAGCUCUGACGAAGCGAGAGUGACGGUAGGAGCAGAAGAAGCACCGGCCAACUACGCGCCAGCAGCCGC